UUUUGAAAAAACAAUAUAUAAACUUGACCUUUCUGCUAUUCUUCGACAAAGAGCAACUCUUUCUCAAACCUGAACUCUCUAAUUCUUACUUAAAUACAUCAAAGUUAACAGUUAAUCUUCAAGCAAAUGGACGAUUCUUCAAGGGAUGAGGCGAGUGACACCAUUAGGAUCCUGGUUGCUACAGAUUGUCAUUUGGGCUAUAUGGAGAAGGAUGAAGUACGUAGGCAUGAUUCAUUUCAGGCAUUUGAAGAGAUAUGUUCAAUCGCGGAGAAAAAGCAGGUGGACUUUGUGCUUCUCGGUGGUGAUCUAUUUCACGAGAAUAAGCCAUCCAGGUCAACACUGGUGAAAGCCAUUGAGAUUCUUCGCCGUUAUUGUCUCAAUGAUCGACCAGUGCAAUUCCAAGUUGUUAGUGACCAGACAGUGAACUUUGCUAACCUAUUUGGUCAUGUAAAUUAUGAAGAUCCUCACUUUAAUGUGGGGUUGCCUGUUUUCAGCAUUCAUGGCAAUCAUGACGAUCCAGCUGGUGUGGACAACCUAUCUGCCGUUGAUAUCCUUUCCGCAUGCAAUCUUGUUAACUAUUUUGGUAAAAUGGAUCUUGGUGGUUCUGGUGUUGGGGAGAUUGCUCUCUACCCUAUUCUUAUGAGGAAGGGUUUAACAACAAUAGCUCUUUAUGGUCUUGGGAAUAUCAGAGAUGAACGGUUGAAUAGAAUGUUUCAAACACCACAUGCCGUUCAAUGGAUGCGACCUGAGGCUCAGGAAGGGUGUCAAGUGUCAGACUGGUUCAACAUUUUGGUACUUCACCAAAACAGAGUAAAGGCAAAUCCAAAAAAUGCAAUAAAUGAGCAUUUCCUGCCUCGGUUUCUGGAUUUUAUUGUAUGGGGUCACGAACAUGAAUGUUUGGUGGAUCCUCAGGAGGUUCCAGGUAUGGGUUUUCACAUUACUCAGCCAGGUUCUUCUGUUGCGACAUCACUUAUUGAGGGUGAAUCAAAGCAAAAACAUGUACUCCUAUUAGAAAUUAAGGGAAAUCAAUAUCGUCCAACAAAGAUACCUCUGAACUCAGUGCGUCCUUUUGAAUAUACUGAGGUUGUGCUGAAGGAUGAACCUGAUAUUGAUCCUAACGAUCAGAGUUCGAUUCUUGAACAUUUGGAUAAAGUAGUCAGAAAGCUGAUAGAAAGAUCUAGUCAAAAGGCUAAUAAUGGAUCUGCUGUAAAGCUACCCUUAGUUCGAGUAAAGGUAGACUACUCUGGGUUUAUGACUAUAAAUCCUCAAAGGUUUGGACAAAAAUAUGUGGGAAAGGUUGCCAAUCCACAGGAUAUUCUCAUAUUCUCAAAAUCUUCAAAAAGGGUUGGCAAGGAAGCUAAAUUUGACGAUUCUGAGCGGCUUCGCCCUGAAGAAUUGAAUCAGCAAAACAUUGAAGCUUUAGUUGCUGAGAGCAAUUUGAAAAUGGAGGUACUUCCAGUCAGCGAUCUGGAUGUUGCGCUGCACAAUUUUGUAAACAAGGAUGACAAAAUGGCUUUUCAUUCUUGUAUAAAAUACAACCUUGAGGAAACUCGAAACAAAAUAGCUCGUGAUUCAGAUGACGUGAAGUUUGAAGAAGAUGAUAUAAUUUUAAAAGUUGGAGAGUGCUUAGAGGAACGUGUCAAACAAAGAGCUGCACGAAAUAAAGAUGAUCAACCUUUCUCCUUUAGUGGACAGUCUUUGGAGGAUAUUAGAGGCAAAAGUACUGGAGUAGGAUCAGCAGUUUCAUUUAGUGAUGAUGAGGAUGCCACUAUGCCCUCCGCCUCAAAGUCUACUGCCGGAAAAGGAAGGAAAGAGUCAUCUCAAUCUUUUAGAUCCUCUCGUGAUACUUCUGAAGUUGGCAAGACCUCUUCAAGGGGAAGGGGUAGAGGUAGAGGCAGAGGAAGGGCUUCCAAUAGCUUGAAGCAGACAACCCUUGAUGCAUCUCUGGGAUUCCGUCAGUCACAGAGGUCUGCAUCAAUUGCUGCAUCUGCGUCAGUGCGAAGUAUUGCCGAAGAUGAUGAGAAUGUGGAAUCUCCUUCAAGUGAUGAAGAUGCCAAGCAGGACACUAAUGCUAUUGACGAAAGCUCAGAUGAUGAUAAGACAGUCCAGGGGAAAGGACGCAAAAGGGCUGCUCCAAGGGGAAGGGGCAGAGCUUCAGCAACAGCGGCUAAAAGGGGAAAAAGAUCAGAUAGCUCCUCAUCUUCACUUCAAAGGAUGCUCAUGGAUGCAGAUGAAGAUGAUGAUGAUGAUGAUGACAUGGCAAAGAAAGAAACUAGACCUCGACCUCGACCUCGGGUAACUAGGAAUUACGGUUCUUUAAGGAGAUGACCGUAGCUGGAACUUCUGAUACCAUUUGUUCCAUUCAGGGAUGUUGAUUAUGAUGACUGAAUUUGCGUAGCGAGUUGUAAAUAUACACUAUGAACUAAGCGACAUGGUUAUGUUUCUUCCAAUGCGGUAUAUUCUUCAGUCAGAUUGCGGAAUUACCUUUUCCUUUAUCCAGUGUAGUGCUGCAGAAUGAGCCCAUAUUUUGUCAACCUGCCCAAUCCGCUCAUAUUUUUAUGGGUCGUAUGGGUGAUAUUAUAAAUGGGUAAAAUUUGAGCCUCAACCCAUAUUCAAACCGUAGGAAUAUAGGUAUUCACAGGUAAAAUGUGGGUAACAUACUGGUUAGUCUAAAUUGUUGGUAAGUUUACUUAAACUGGUUUUGCAAGUCUCACAGCCACCAGAGGCAUUUUGGUUGAUUUAUUUAAAUUAACAGUUGCAA